rnacentral:rRNA from 1 species
GACGAACGCUGGCGGUGUGCUUAACACAUGCAAGUCGAACGGUAAGGCCCUUUCGGGGGUCCACGAGUGGCGAACGGGGGAGUAACACGUAAGUAACCUGCCCUCAUCUCUGGGAUAACGGUCGGAAACGGUUGCUAAUACUGGAUAUGAGCUUGCAAGUCAUCUGGUGGGUUGGAAAGAUUUUUUUGGUUGUGGAUGGACUCGCGGCCUAUCAGCUUGUUGGUGAGGUAGUGGCUAACCAAGGCGUCGACGGGUAGCCGGCCAGAGAGGGCGACCGGCCAUAUUGGGACUGAGAUACGGCCCAAACUCCUACGGGAGGCAGCAGGGGGGAAUAUUGAACAAUGGACGGAAGUCUGAUGCAGAAACGCCGCGGGCGGGAUGACGGCCUUCGGGUUGUAAACCGCUUUCAAUUGUGACGAAGCUUUUUGUGACGGUAGCAGUAGAAGAAGCACCGGCUAACUACGUG